rnacentral:lncRNA from 1 species
UCUGUGAUGGACCGUCCCAUAAGAUUCGCACCAUAGAGCCUAGACUCCAAACGUUUGCUUCCGUGACAUCUGACGAGCAGGGCGGGUUGUGAGGACGCUGCUGGACCCUGGAGCGCCUGCCUGGGUUUCCUCUCAGCUCUGCCCACUGGCCCAGCAAGCCAGCUCUGGAGGCCGGAAGUCCAAAAUCAAAGGGUCAGCAGCGCCCAGCUCCCUCUGAAGUCUCCAGGGGAGGGUCCUUCCUGCCUCUUCCAGCUUCUGCUGUUGCUGGCAAUCCUUGGCAUCUCUUGGCUUGUAGCUGCGUCACUCCAACCUCUGCCUCUGUCAUCACAUCGGCUUCUCCCUUCUGUGUGUCUCUGUGUCCAAACCCCCUCUCCUUUCUCUUAUGACACCAGUCAUGGGAUGUAGGGCCCACCCUAACCUACUAUGACCUCAUCUUCCCUUGAUUACAUCUAUCAAGAUCGUAUUUCCAAAUAAGGUCAC